AACCAGCUCUUCGAGUGGUCGGGAUAAUUAUUGGGCUUAAAGUGUCCGUAGCCGGUUUAGUAAGUUCCUGGUAAAAUCGGGUAGCUUAACUAUUCGUAUGCUAGGAAUACUGCUAUACUAGAGGGCGGGAGAGGUCUGAGGUACUACAGGGGUAGGGGUGAAAUCUUAUGAUCCUUGUAGGACCACCAGUGGCGAAGGCGUCAGACUGGAACGCGCCUGACGGUGAGGGACGAAAGCCAGGGGAGCGAACCGGAUUAGAUACCCGGGUAGUCCUGGCCGUAAACGAUGCAUACUAGGUGAUGGCACGGCCGUGAGCCGUGUCAGUGCCGUAGGGAAACCGUUAAGUGUGCCGCCUGGGAAGUACGGUCGCAAGGCUAAAACUUAAAGGAAUUGGCGGGGAGCACCACAAGGGGUGAAGCCUGCGGUUC
rnacentral:rRNA from 1 species